rnacentral:lncRNA from 1 species
GGAAGUUCAGUUGGCAGGAUGGCAGCAGCAGACACACAGGGUGGUUAAGAACAACAAACACAGGUAACAUCUGCUGAAGGCUUCUACAAGCUGAGCACUAACAGGCAAACCACUUCAAUAGAACAUGGCUGGCGGCCAUAUGGACAUAUUUGAAUCCAACAAUUAAUUCAGCAAAGAAAGCUGCUUGUGGCAAGUUUUGAAUGUGCCAUUCCAGGUAGUGCUUUGAUGAUAAAUGAGGAGAAGAUUGCAAAGAAAAUGACAGCAACAUUUAUAAAAGGAUUCCUCUUAGGACUCUAGAUGCACGGAGAGUGGCCAGAUUAAUACAGACUGGCAAAAGAAGAACUUGGCAAAGUGAUUUGAUCACACACUUCUCACCCUCACAUCUCCUGACAGUUCCCCUAAUCCCUGCCCCACUUCCCCGCCAUGGGCUUCCAUCAGGAAACUCCUUGAUAUCAUCUUCGAGAAGAAAACUGAGGCAUAGAACAUUUGGGAAUGAAUCUAAGACUACACAUCUAGAAUAGCAGAGUUACAGGAAUGCAGAUGUGAUUCCUAUGGAUGAGGGUAACCUAGAGGCUAGAAGAACAAUAGGACAGAAGAAGCCUGGGUCCCUGAACAACCUUGUGGAGCAUAGACACCUACGUGGCCUGGACUGCCAGCUCACAAUGGGCCUCUCUGUGAGAGAAGGAAACUUCCCUCUUGUUUAAGCAACUGUGCUUUUGAGAAUCUCUUGGUCUAUACCCUAAUGAAUAAGGCCAUCAUAAAUGGAUAUCAAAGUAAGGAAAUUUGUGUAAAUGAUUUAAUAAAACAUUACCUCAGGUAUGAAAUAAUUCUACCUUGUGCCUUGACAACAUCAGGUAUUAUUCAUGCCCUUUUCUCUCCCUGUAAUGUCUCUUAUCCACGGGUAGAAAUUAUAUUUUCCAUCUAAGGUUUGCUCAAAUAUUAUCUACUUAA